rnacentral:misc_RNA from 1 species
GAUCAAGAACGUAGUGAAAUGCGAUAAGUAAUGUGAAUUGCAGAAUUCAGUGAAUCAUCGAAUCUUUGAACGCACAUUGCGCCCGCCAGUAUUCUGGCGGGCAUGCCUGUUCGAGCGUCAUUACAACCCUCAAGCCCCCCGGCUUGGUGUUGGGGACCGGCCACCGGUGCCCUGCUGCUUCCGCGGCAGGCGCGCCCGGCCGCCCCCGAAAUGAAUUGGCGGCCCCGUCGCGGCCUCCCUCUGCGUAGUAGCACACAUCUCGCAGCUGGAGCGCGGCGCGGCCACUGCCGUAAAACGCACCAACUUUUUUUUACAGUUGACCUCGAAUCAGGUAGGAAUACCCGCUGAACUUAAGCAUAUCAAUAAGCGGAGGA